GAAGAAAUCGUUCGUCUCUAUUAAUACGUUUAAACGGAACAACUACAUUUAACGAUUACAAGCUUUGCGAUGCAACGCUUUAAUGCUUCACGACAUCUACAAAACACUCGUGCAAUACGACGAGUCAUAAUACAGUACAAUCGUAAUCCUCACAGAUUCGUCAAAUUCGUGUAACUAUUUUUACACAGCGAUAGGCCAAAAUAAAAAUUUUCAGUAAAAAUAAACUAAAAAAACAGAUGUAUAAUACAAGUUAAUAUACAUUCAUUGUAUAUUAUAGAAAUAUUGAAACGUAUACGACGAUCCACAGUAUAUUUAUUAAGCUCUAUUUACGGUUACAUGUAAGAUUAAUGAGAUGUUCACAAUAAUUGACUGGCUUGACAUUGACUUUUUACGUCCCAACAGUCGCUACUUUUUCAAUGUUUUUUUCCUGAAAUUUUUCUCUCGUGAUCCACAACGUCGGGCAAACAGUGUCACCGUUAAUUUACCAUUUAAAUCGUAAUUCUCAAAGUUUGUUGUAAAUGGGAUACGAUAGUUGGACACCCACAUGAAAAUGUUUGAAAUAUAUAUAACAAUUAAAAGCGUUACGAGUGACUAGAGAGAUAAACGAUCGGCUGGCUUUAUUUGACGGAUUUCUAUUCAGCCGAUCUCGCGUUCGAACGCGGUGCUGAAUAUUAACCGAUAUACCGAAAGGAAAAUCUGAAAUAUUGUAUGCGAUCGCCAGUUACGAGAUUCUAAUUUUUUAUGAGGUCACCCGUUUCUUUUGAAUACCGUGACAAUUCAUCGCCAGCUGGUCGCCGUACGAAACCCGAAUAAAAACUUCGGCAAGCUCCUGACUGCUCUAAUGGUCUACGUUUCAUCGCAAAGCUCGUGAUCGGACAGCUUUAGAAAGAUUUAUAAAACUCACCACGACACAGCACAGCACUGACGACAUGCCGCCAUGUUGAAUGUCAACAUUCAGUAUUCACACACAAAACAGGAGCAACCACGAAAUAGAACAGGCACGCACGCAUGCACACACACAGGACGACGACGAUUAACAUGUACAGGCUAAAAGUGUGUUCUCAAUACCACCAAAUAAAUACCAUACGUUGACGUUGUCGAGUUAUGAACCGGGAAUAAUGAUAGAAAAUGCAAUUUUAAUAUUGUUAAACAACGGUAAAAAGGAAUGAAAGCAGCAGCAGUACAAUGAUCCGUGUUUUAAAUAAAUGAACAAUGUAGUUAAAACUUA